rnacentral:rRNA from 1 species
UGGGGAAUCUUGCACAAUGGGGGCAACCCUGAUGCAGCGACGCCGCGUGAGCGAUGAAGCCCUUCGGGGCGUAAAGCUCUUUCGACCGGAACGAUAAUGACGGUACCGGGAGAAGAAGCUGCGGCUAACUACGUGCCAGCAGCCGCGGUAAUACGUAGGCAGCAAGCGCUGUUCGGAGUUACUGGGCGUAAAGAGUGCGUAGGCGGUUUUCUAAGUUCGGUGUGAAAUCUCCCGGCUUAACUGGGAGGGUGCGCCGAAGACUGGGAAGCUGGAGUGUGGGAAAGGCAGGCGGAAUUCCUGGUGUAGCGGUGAAAUGCGUAGAUAUCAGGAGGAACACCGGCGGUGUAGACGGCUUGCUAGACCAUAACUGACGCUGAGGCACGAAAGCGUGGGUAGCAAACA